GUCCCAGUUCGGAUUGUAGUCUGCAACCCGACUACAUGAAGCUGGAAUCGCUAGUAAUCGCGAAUCAGAAUGUCGCGGUGAAUACGUUCCCGGGUCUUGUACACACCGCCCGUCACACCAUGGGAGUCGGAAAUGCCCGAAGUCAGUGACCCAACCGUAAGGAGGGAGCUGCCGAAGGUGGAGCCGGUAACUGGGGUGAAGUCGUAACAAGGUAAC
rnacentral:rRNA from 1 species